UUUCUUCGGGAUGAAGAGCUUGGUGACUGAGCGGCGGACGGGUGAGUAACGCGUGGGUAACCUGCCUCAUACAGGGGGAUAACAGUUGGAAACGACUGCUAAUACCGCAUAAGCGCACGGUAUCGCAUGAUACAGUGUGAAAAACUCCGGUGGUACAGGAUGGACCCGCGUCUGAUUAGCUGGUUGGUGAGGUAACGGCCCACCAAGGCAACGAUCAGUAGCCGGCCUGAGAGGGUGAACGGCCACAUUGGGACUGAGACACGGCCCAAACUCC
rnacentral:rRNA from 1 species